rnacentral:rRNA from 1 species
UAAGGAAUAUUGCUCAAUGGGAGAAAUCCUGAAGCAGCAACGCCGCGUGGAGGAUGAAGGGCUUUCAGCUUGUAAACUCCUGUAAAGAAGGCAAAAAUUCCCAUUAGAUGGGAAAUGAUGGUACUUCUAAAGUAAGCCCCGGCUAACUACGUGCCAGCAGCCGCGUUACUACGUAGGGGGCAAGCGUUGUCCGGAUUUACUGGGUGUAAAGGGUGCUCAGGCGGAUUUGUAAGUCAGAGGUGAAAUCUCACAGCUUAACUGUGAAACUGCCUUUGAUACUGCAAGUCGAGAGUAUGGAAGAGAGUGAUGGUAUGUCUGGUGUAGCAGUGAAAUGCGUAGAUAUCAGAUAGAACACCAAUGGCGAAGGCAGUCACUUGGUCCAUUACUGACGCUAAAGCACGAAAGCGUGGGUAGCAAACA